rfam:Dictyocaulus viviparus strain HannoverDv2000 D_viviparus-1.0_Cont300.2, whole genome shotgun sequence.
GAAUCGGUAGUAUAAUGCAUCAGCACGAUAGACCGGAUAUCUGUAAGUGCGAGUUCGAGUCUCGCCUGAUGUU